UACGAAGGGGGCUAGCGUUGCUCGGAAUCACUGGGCGUAAAGGGCGCGUAGGCGGCUUAACAAGUCACUUGUGAAAUCUCCGGGCUUAACUCGGAACGGCCAAGUGAAACUGUCAAGCUAGAGUGCAGAAGGGGCAAUCGGAAUUCUUGGUGUAGCGGUGAAAUGCGUAGAUAUCAAGAGGAACACCUGAGGUGAAGACGGGUUGCUGGGCUGACACUGACGCUGAGGCGCGAAAGCCAGGGGAGCAAACGGG
rnacentral:rRNA from 1 species